rfam:Schistosoma curassoni strain Dakar, Senegal genome assembly, scaffold: SCTD_contig0006699
AUUCAGCUAACGAAUCCUAAAAAAGGACGAAACGCGCGUCCUGAAU